UAGGGCUGGGAUAGGGGGCAGCCAACAUUUUUUUGCUUGGGAUGGCAAAAAACCUAGAGCCGGCCCUGUCUGUGAUUGCGUAGGUGUACAAUGUACAUUCAAAUUAGAAAUGGAAUCACAUGUCCAUUUUUAAACAGAGUUCUAGAAAGCUGUCAUUUUAUAGUUUGGCCAAUUUCUGAAUGAAAUAUGGUGGAUUUGACUUUUUAACUUUUUCUUGAAAAAUAAUGUAACUCCAAUCAAUCCAGAUACAAAAUUUAUACUAAGCUGCCUCAAACUAGCCACAAUGUUUGCUUCUUACCUUCUCGAAUUAUAUUUACAAUGAAAGCACCAAUAGACCCUGAAAUAUGAGGGUACAAAUGAAAAACUGUGCUGAUAUUUAAAUUUUCCCUUUAACUCCAAGAAAACCAUACUUCAUUUUUGCAAAAUGAGACUUUUUUGCAUAUCAAGAUUUCUGAUACAAAAGAGAUGUCACCUUAUUUGGGAAAGUUAAUUUUUACUAAAUCUCAAAAUUAAUGUUGCAAUAUAACUGAUGAGUAAGUAGCAUAAUGAUGCAUCAAUUUCUCUGCUUUUAAAAACAGAUUUAUUUGGUGUUAAAAAGCCAGUGCAUAAUAUGUACAUGCACUCAUGCUGCAUAAAAGAUGAAGAUUUCCUGAUCUGAAAUAGUUUUGCACUUUUUUCCCAGUGACAAAUGUUUAGUUAGCCAUUCCAAGAACCAACGAGGAUGGCUGCAGUCUUCGGAGACAUUUUAAGCGGUUGAUGUACAGGGUUGGUUGUGGCAGCCAGCCCAAAUCAAGGAGCUGUGAUGUCAUGCAGGGCAGCAGCAUGGUCUGGGCAGUUGGACUCCAGGUCUACAGAGAGUUUGGAUCCCUGGAUCUAUUUCUGAAGCUGUAUCUUCAUACCUCAAAGUCAACCCAUCCCAGAAAAUAAAUAAACGUUUUGUUACACAUUGAGAUUGGAGUUCAUAAGGUGAGUGUUCCAUUCAUCAGAAGGACUUUUCUAGUCUGAUAUUAGCCACCACACACAUAUGGAGGCCAAAGACAACAGCAACAGAUCAAACCCCUUUGAGCUGGACAUAAUGCUUGAAAUCAGUUUUGAUCCUAUGCACCACAUUAUCAUUUAUCACAGUGUCUAAAAGUUUGCUGCCUAAACCUGAGUAGUCUAUUAUUACAUUAGGAUCCAGGGCCAGAUUUUGAAGGCGAUUACUGUGGAAUAUAUAGACAACUUUUACGGACAUUGACGGAAUUAUUCAGUGUUUGGACCCCUUUAUUCCACUUAAAUAAACACAAGGAAUUAAAGGUGUUAACAUGACCCUGAAAUUGUCCAACAUUAAACAGUAGCAAUCCCAUUUUCAAGAAAACAAAACAGAUCAAACGCACACAAAAGAAAAGAACAGCGAAGGUAGAAAAUGCAGUUUCUGUUUCUGGUGUUGACUCUUACUUGCAACCUUGCUGCUGGAGACACAGGCACAGCAUAGUCUUAUCAGCCAUUCUGGAUCCAUUCACACAGCAAAAAAAAAAAAGGCAACACCCAGAACCAAUCUCAGUUGACUGGGGCUCAUAGGGCUCACACUGUGGGGCUAAAAAUGGCCAUGUAGAUAUCUGGGCUCUGGCUAGAGUCUAGGUUUCAGCAAACACCUACACGGCUAUUUUUAGCCCCAUAGUGUAAGCCCAAGUCAGUUGACCUGUGCUCUGAGAUGUGCUGCCACAGGUCUUUUUGCUGUUUUGUUUUGUUGGCAAACUUGUACCAAGAUCAACGGUGGAGAUGUGAGGAAAGAAGGCAGAAAUAUAGGAAGUAAGUGUGGGGGAGAGAGAAGUUACUAAAGGGAAGCAGGAGGAGCUGCUGAGAGACAGUGAGAAAAGAAAAGGUUUCUGAGGAAAAGCAGGAGGGGCUGUUCAGAGUUGGAGGAACCGCUGGGGGAGGACUUUUAUGAGUCAGAGUUUGGCAGCCUCACUGGAUUCCGUUGUGAAGCAUGUAAAUAUUAAUUCAGCAGGGACUACAUUUGGAUUAGGUUAGCGGCUAGCGCUGUGGCAGAAAGCAAUUCCAUCACAGUAUGAACAGUGCUGAGAACUGCAGAUUAGACCAGAGUUAAGACUGAGGCAGCAAACAAUAGAAGGAAGGAAGCGCACAGUUAAAGAGGGGGCCACACUUGCAGAACCAGAACAUUUCUAUGGAGAGCAGUUUACUGGGACAGACAUUUUGUGUGGUACCUUUGAUAUUACAAUAACGCUGGGUUAAUAAGAGAUUUGUCCUCUCGAUCCAGCUUCUCCUUUUGCCUGCUUCUACAGAAAACUCCUAAGAUUUUGUGACAUCAUCUUGUCACCAUGUGAAUGCAGGAUGUUUCUGGCCAGAUUCUGAAUUUGAAUGCAUUCGUUUCAAUGGCAGCCCCAUGCACAGAGGAAAGAAUACAUUUUGGUGAUGUGACUUCACUUUAGGAUCAAAGAGGAAGCAAAAAUGGGAUGAAUGGCUCAAGUCCUUCUUAAAAUUCAAAUAUAUUUGAUAAGUGGGGAAAAAGCACAUGGGAUAGCUAUGAAACGUGUGCAAGUAGAAUAUAUGUUUACGUGCUCCAUGCUGUGAAACCUGUUCCUCUAUGCAAUUUUUGUGCUUUAUGCUUAGCAGAGGUUAGCGAGGGACAAAUAUUCCCCUCCCGCACACCACAUAAGCUAUGGAGCAACAGCAGAAUUGUUCUGUGGUCAUUAUUGCAAACUGACAGUACAACAGGACCCAUAGACCCUGCACUCCUUUGCUAACAUUUUAACAGAACUAGAUGAGACCGCGGUCAAAAUGUCUACUCCUGGUCUACAGCAGAGCUUAUAUUAUUGGUAGCACUGACGCAGCUACUCUUUUGUUUAAAAAAAAUGGGAAAGGGAUGACCUACUGUACAUCAACCCUCUGCCUACUCUUUUGGGUUGGGGGGGUCGUUGUGCUGCAGUCAAUGCAAAGUGUUUCAUAUUCAGCUGUGAACUGCCUUGUUUUUCUUAUUUUCUAUUGCAAGAUUAAUGUUCCCCAGUGUAGUUCAUUUUGAGUGAUUAUUUGCAUACAUGUCAGAGAAGUCCUUCAGUGAGAUUCCUGUGAUGGCUGCCAGAAUCUGACUCACCACAAUGACACUUAAUUCUCCAUGAUAGUCCUCAUUUAAGGUCUCAGAGCUUUUUUAAUUAAAAAGUUUAAUUCUUAGAACAGCCUCUUGCUGGCAAGUGUGUGACAGUGACAGGAAUAAAACCCUGGAGUCCUGACCUCCAGCCAAGAGUGUAAACGCUAUUGUGUUAUCCGAGCUCAGCAAACAUGGGCAGAAAUUGAAACAACCAAUGUGUAUUUAGGGUCUUUUUUUUAGAAUACAAUUCUAUUCUAUCUAGGUUUUUAAACCGAAUUAUCAUCUUAGUAUCUGAAUAUCUGUGGCAGUGAGGCCAGGUUUUGUGCUAGAGUGAAGCUAUUUAUUUAAACAUAUUUUGUGUUUAAAAAAAAAUACCUUCAAAAAAUUAACAUUUGAGUUGUUAGAGCAGAUGGUAGGAAAUUCUCGUGUGCUUGUUCUGGAGUUCCUCUGAAAUAAUGAAAUAUUCAAGGAGAAUGUUGAAUGGAGUGGUCAGGACUUAAGAAAAGCCACUGUAGGAUAUAGGGUGGGUUGGUUCUGAACAAGGUCAGGAGUUCCAGGGCUGUAGGAACAGAGGCAGUGGUGAGAGCAGGAGAACAGGACUGCGGAUUUGAUUGGUUUGGAGGUUUAUUAAGCCAAUAGCAAACGGGGUCACAAGUAGGCUCAUGUCUCCUUACCUUGCUACCCCAGGCAACACACUUGCAAUGAUACAAAAUUCAAAUUCCACUGAAUCAUUUGGAUUCUGAUUAGAUUUCUGUGAAGAGGGUCUUUGAACUGGAUUACUUUGAACUGAACACUCCGUUGAAAUGAAUAAGGGAAAUUCGUGUCUUGGGGCUUGGUCCUGAAAUCAGCUGCCAGGCUCCCAUUUGACUUUAAACCAUUGGACAUCAGUUUAUAUUUUCAAGGUUCAUUGCAGCUAGAAAGGCUAUAAAUAUAUUUUAAAUUAAAGUUUAUUUUAUUCUGUAGAAUUAUUCUACACAAUACCCCUAAUUCUCCAAUAACCUUGAAGGACCUUGUUUCCUUGUGCUCCCCAUCUACCUGUCUGUAUCCAUUUGUCUCUUGUCUUUAAGUGUCAGCUUUUUGGGGCAGGGACCAUCUUUUUGUUCUGCAUCUGUACAUUGCCUGGUACAAUGGGGUACCGGUCAAUGACUGGGGUCUUAGGAGCUUACCCAAUACAAAUAAUAAAUAACAAUAAUAAGGAACCAUAUCCAUGAUCAAGAGCUGGUGUGCAAGUCCACUCCUUUUUCUUUCACACGCUGGACUGGGUAAUGAACCACUCAUCUAAACAACUGAAUCGCAAGACGCUGUGUGAGACCCUGAUAUCCUGAUAUUAAUCCUGAUGUUUAGACCAACUCCUCCAAAGCUAAUCUGCUGGGGAAUAAAUGCCAGGCAUACGGUUGUUGGGAGAAUGUAAAGUACUUGCCAGAGUUCUGAUGGGCAUAAAUCCAGACCACAGAUGGUAUUAUAUUGCCUUUGAAGAGAACAAAAAUCCUUUCAAAGGCUAUACAGCUAGACUUGAUUUAGAUUUAGACAUCCACUUUAUUUAAAAUCGGCCAUGCUAUGAGAAAGCAAUAUAAGCCUAUUCAUAAUUGCACGCUUACAGUUUGAUUUUGGCAGGCCAAAUACUAUAGCUGGAUUUUAUGAAGGAUUAAAAAAGCUGGUGUAGAUAGCCUAUUCAAACCCUCUCAGUCUGAAAUGGAGCAAUAACUUAACAUUUUCAAAGAAGGGAGCAUAUUAUGACAGGUGCUUACUGGUCUUUCACAAGGACCUUUUUAUGUUUCUACUGGUGUCCGUCAACCUCUGAGAGAGAUUGGUUUAUCAAAGCCACAACUAACUGCUGCUAUGUAGCAAACUCAUAGCACAGCAAGUUGUGUAGCAAUCAGUGAUCCACAGUUCCUUUCUUCUCAAAGGAAACUGUCAAUCAUAAACAUUUCUGUUUGCGUCCUUUACUACUACUGCUGCAUUGGGCGGGAUGGGGUAAAAUGGGGCCGAGCUGGGGCUGCCCUCUGAUCCAGCACUCUUCAGACCCAGAACUGUGUAGGGGAGACCCCCUCUGGGAUACCAGAAACCAUAUGAUAUCCACCUUCUCCCCUGCCAUGUGGCCUUUUGGAAAGACACUGCCUGAAGCUGGCACAGCAGGUGAAGAAAGCAGUGCAAGCAGGUUCCAAUGGACACUGGUGAUCUCAUCAGGGUGCUUUCUGCAACGUUAACUCAGAACACUCUCUCACGCCUGUGCUGCUUGGCAGUUUACUCCAGUCCUUCCUGUCUCCUCCUCCACAGUCUCCAGUCCCCUCCUUUCCUUCCCCCUUUCUAGCUAAUCCCCUCCUGGCAUAACCACACUGAAAGAAUUUAAAUAACCAAACCAACCAACCUGACAUUUGGAGCUUAGUCCUGGAUUUAUGAGCCUAUUGAGCCAUCACAUUGUUCAUAUUGCUUGUAUGGUCUAUCCAUUUCUCCUACCUUGAAUCCGUCUUGUCUAGUUAGAAGGUAAGAUUUGGGGGCAGAGGCUGUCUCUUAGUGUCCCUAGCACAAUGAGGCUCUAUUCUUGGUUGACCCCUAAGCUCUACUGUAAUAAGUAUGAUGAACAAUGAAAAAUAAUUUAUGAUGUCCAUAGGCAUUUAAAAUAUAAUUUCUUAUCUUUUACCUUACAGGCCACAACUUCCCUCCUUUUGUUGAGGAUUUUGGCAAACUUUGGGGAACCAGGAUGGUGACAUCAUAACUUGAGGCUGAAACCUGAGCUACAGCUCUCCGAACGCCCAGCUGAUGGGCAGAGGGGAUGCUGUGUGGGGAAGGUGUUUGUCUAAAACCGAGCAUUCUCUUCAUAUCAUUUUAGGGCAGUGAUACGCAGACCUCACCAGUUCAGGAGCCAAAUUGGCGAUCAACAUUACCCAAAAGAGCCACAGUUGUGUGACUUCAUUGUUUCAUUUACUAUAAUACUAUUCAUAUUUAAACAGUAUGAUGGGAAAUAUUUAGUUUAUAAUAUAUAUUAUUCUCACAGCAUAUAUGUUAAUAACUUAGUGCAAAUUGAUAACUUAAUUGGGUAAUAACAUAGUAAAAGCAUCCUGAUCGGUUAAUAAUGUUAAUAUCAUUUGCUGCAAAGAGUUGCAGGAGACACAUUAAAGAGGCACCUGUGGUUCAGGUGCCUCAGUCUGAGUAUCACUGAUUUAGGGGCUAGGAAAUAUGUAGUUCAGGUACCAAUUGCAAGUUAUGAUGUCUCCAUUCAAAUACAGAUAAACAGACUGCAACUCAGGAUCUACCUCACUGUGCUGCUGCUAUUGCUGUUUUCUUUAAAAUAAAUCAUGUGUUAAAACUUGUCAGUCAAAAAUAAUUAAAAAAAUCUUUAAGAACAUGCUAAAUUUACAUUGUUACUAUCAAAUCAAAAUUUCUUGCUGCUGGUUUUUCACAUGUUGCUAACUUACACUUAUUUUCUUUUCUCUUCUUUUUAAACAAGUCGCAUUUCUGCAAGAUUUGUGCUACGUAACUUUCCUAUGUCCUAUAGGCUGAGUGAUGAACCAGUACAAUUUUCAUUUACUUGUGAGAAACUCAGUUUGACAUGGAGGUACAAAAGUGCUUCUGAAAAGAGAAUGGGGAAUUCUGAAACCUCUGCUGAGAAACAAAAGCAGAAACUAAUUUUUCUUGGUCUGAGGAUCACAAAGUGCUUUGCCAAUAUUAAUGAAUUGAAUUUUAUAGCAUCCUAAGGUAGGUAUUAUCCUCAUUUUGCAAAUAGGAGACACUGAGACACACAGAGUAAGUGACUUGCCAAAGGUCACACAGGAAGUCUGAGUCAGAACUGAAAAUAGAAUCCAGGAGUCCUGACUUUCAGUCUUGUGCUUUAACCACAUCCAUAAUCCAUAUCCAUAAUCUAAUUGUACAAGCCACUAUUCAAAUAUCAAAUGAGACACAGCAUUUAUAUGAAUGGGCAAGGAGGUAAGAUGUUUGGUCAGAAGAUAGACUAGGAGAGUGGACCACUGCAGUGGUGCCAAAGUUUGGUAACAAUAUGUACUGAUGGGGAACAGGCUGAGUGAACUGGCUGUGGCAGUAAAGAUAUGAAAAAUUAUGUUCCAAAAUUCUCUCACUUUCCUAGACAUUAAUUAUAUGUAACCCUGAAAUAUACACUGGGCCAGAUCAGGGCCGGCUUCAGGGUUUUGGCCGCCUCAAGCAGCCAAAAAAAAAAAA